CAACGAACCAGCACCGAUGCCUGCUCCUCUUAUGGCUGCCCCUUUGCCAAGAAAGGAGUUCGCACAAUGAGGUCGUAGAGCGCUCACAAAAGCAUCAUAUGGGCUAAGCAGAGCUUCAUUUCCGACUGCUGAUGUACUGUCUACACCUACCUCAAGGCCCACAACCAGACCAGUUUCAACCAUGCAUGGGCCCAUCUGGUAAGCAUAAGGACUACAUUCUGCUAGACUGCUGUUCAAAU